rnacentral:rRNA from 1 species
UACACUCCUACGGGAGGCAGCAGUGGGGAAUAUUGGACAAUGGGCGCAAGCCUGAUCCAGCCAUGCCGCGUGAGUGAUGAAGGCCCUAGGGUUGUAAAGCUCUUUCACCGGUGAAGAUAAUGACGGUAACCGGAGAAGAAGCCCCGGCUAACUUCGUGCCAGCAGCCGCGGUAAUACGAAGGGGGCUAGCGUUGUUCGGAUUUACUGGGCGUAAAGCGCACGUAGGCGGACUAUUAAGUCAGGGGUGAAAUCCCGGGGCUCAACCCCGGAACUGCCUUUGAUACUGGUAGUCUUGAGUUCGAGAGAGGUGAGUGGAAUUCCGAGUGUAGAGGUGAAAUGCGUAGAUAUUCGGAGGAACACCAGUGGCGAAGGCGGCUCACUGGCUCGAUACUGACGCUGAGGUGCGAAAGCGUGGGGAGCAAACAGGAUUAGAAACCCCAGUAGUCCCAUG